CACAUGCAAGUCGAACGAAGUAGCAAUACUUAGUGGCAGACGGGUGAGUAACAUGUAGGUAUCUGCCCUUUGGCCUGGAAUAACACGAGGAAACUUGUGCUAAUACCGGAUAAGUCUUUACGGAGAAAGCUUUAUGCACCAUUGGAUGAGCCUGCACUUGAUUAGUUUGUUGGUGGGGUAAUGGCCUACCAAGACUGUGAUCAAUAGCUGAUUUGAGAGGAUGAUCAGCCACAUUGGGACUGAGACACGGCCCAAACUCCUACGGGAGGCAGCAGUGGGGAAUCUUGCACAAUGGAGGAAACUCUGAUGCAGCGAUGCCGCGUGAGUGGAGAAGGCCUUUGGGUUGUAAAGCUCUUUCGUCGGGGAAGAAAAUGACUGUACCCGAAUAAGAAGGUCCGGCUAACUUCGUGCCAGCAGCCGCGGUAAUACGAAGGGACCUAGCGUAGUUCGGAAUUACUGGGCUUAAAGAGUUCGUAGGUGGUUGAAAAAGUUAGUGGUGAAAUCCCAGAGCUUAACUCUGGAACUGCCAUUAAAACUUUUCAGCUAGAGUAUGAUAGAGGAAAGCAGAAUUUCUAGUGUAGAGGUGAAAUUCGUAGAUAUUAGAAAGAAUACCAAUUGCGAAGGCAGCUUUCUGGAUCAUUACUGACACUGAGGAACGAAAGCAUGGGUAGCGAAGAGGAUUAGAUACCCUCGUAGUCCAUGCCGUAAACGAUGUGUGUUAGACGUUGGAAAUUUAUUUUCAGUGUCGCAGGGAAACCGAUAAACACACCGCCUGGGGAGUACGACCGCAAGGUUAAAACUCAAAUGAAUUGACGGGGACCCGCACAAGUAGUGGAGCAUGUGGUUUAAUUCGAAGAUACGCGCAGAACCUUACCAACACUUGACAUGUUCGUCGCGACUCUAAGAGAUUAG
rnacentral:rRNA from 1 species